AACGCGAAGAACCUUACCAAGGCUUGACAUGCUGGUAGUACCGAUCCGAAAGGUGAGGGACCCUUCGGGGAGCCAGUGCAGGUGAUGCACGGCUGUCGUCAGCUCGUGCCGUGAGGUGUUGGGUUAAGUCCCGCAACGAGCGCAACCCCUGUUGCCAGUUGUAUUUUUCUGGCGAGACUGCUGAGAGAAACUCAGAGGAAGGCGGGGAUGAAGUCAAGUCCGCGUGUCCCUUACGUCUUGGGCUACACACACGCUACAAUGGCCGGUACAGAGGGCUGCGAAAGAGCGAUCUGGAGCUAAUCCCACAAAGCCGGCCCCAGUUCAGAUUGCAGGCUGAAACCCGCCUGCAUGAAGGCGGAGUUGCUAGUAACCGCAGGUCAGCACACUGCGGUGAAUACGUUCCCGGGCCUUGUACACACCGUAGUAC
rnacentral:rRNA from 1 species